CGUAGGUGGCAAGCGUUGUCCGGAAUUAUUGGGCGUAAAGGGCGCGUAGGCGGUACCUUAAGUCAGAUGUGAAAACCCGAGGCUUAACUUCGGAGGUGCAUUUGAAACUGGGGAACUAGAGUGCAGGAGAGGUAAGUGGAAUUCCUAGUGUAGCGGUGAAAUGCGUAGAUAUUAGGAGGAACACCAGUGGCGAAGGCGACUUACUGGACUGUAACUGACGCUGAGGCGCGAAAGCGUGGGGAGCAAACAGGAUUAGAUACCCUGGUAGUCCACGCUGUAAACGAUGGAUACUAGGUGUGGGAGGUAUCGACCCCCUCCGUGCCGCAGUAAACGCAAUAAGUAUCCCGCCUGGGGAGUACGGCCGCAAGGUUG
rnacentral:rRNA from 1 species